GUGGGGAAUAUUGGACAAUGGGCGCAAGCCUGAUCCAGCCAUGCCGCGUGUGUGAAGAAGGUCUUCGGAUUGUAAAGCACUUUAAGUUGGGAGGAAGGGCAGUAAGUUAAUACCUUGCUGUUUUGACGUUACCGACAGAAUAAGCACCGGCUAACUUCGUGCCAGCAGCCGCGGUAAUACGAAGGGUGCAAGCGUUAAUCGGAAUUACUGGGCGUAAAGCGCGCGUAGGUGGUUUUGUAAGUUGGAGGUGAAAUCCCCGGGCUCAACCUGGGAACUGCCUCCAAAACUGCAUGACUAGAGUACGGUAGAGGGUAGUGGAAUUUCCUGUGUAGCGGUGAAAUGCGUAGAUAUAGGAAGGAACACAGUGGCGAAGGCGACUACCUGGACUGAUACUGACACUGAGGUGCGAAAGCGUGGGGAGCAAACAGGAUUAGAAACCCGAGUAGUCC
rnacentral:rRNA from 1 species